UUUUGGCAAAGAAAUGGACAAAUCGAGUCUUGCAUGAUAUGUGUAAAACUGCAAGGUUAAGAGACUAUACUUUGCAUUGUUGUAGUAUCAAGAGGCAUUAGGGCAUUUAGCAGUUACAUUACUGUUGAUCAGUCAUCACAUUGUAUUACCUUAUAUAAGAAGUACAAUACAAUGUGCCAAACAUAAUGUGUCACAUAAAGAGAGAGUGCAGCAUAUGACAGUAGCAACAGCUGAGAAGAUUUGGGUCUGUGGUGACCAGGUCCACCUCACACAAACUGCCUUCUCCCACUUUCUCUCUUUACUGCCACACACACAAACACACACACACACACACACACACACACACACACACACACACACACACACACACACACACAC